GUAAUGCAGCACAGCUCUCACUGGUCCUGCGUUAUGUUACGGACACAGGUGUCAAGGAGCGAGCCAAUGACAUUGCUGCUCUUAUUGUCCGUUUCUUGGAGGAAUAUGAAUGUCUAGAUAAAGUUGUGGCACAGUGUUUUUUGAUGGCGCAGCCGUUAUGUCAUCUGGACUAAAUAGGGUGCAGGCUAAAGAUAUGGAGAAGGCAACUAUGGCCUUAUUCAUACACUGCUAUGCACUUCGGCUGAAUUUAGUUCUGACUCAAGGGGCAUCAAAGCUCAAAGAAUGCAAGAUCUUUUUUGUGCACCUAAAUAGCCAGCUGCAUUUUUCUCCAGAUCCCUUAGGCACACACAACUAUUGGACGAUAUCUGCCGGUGGCGUCUUCCUCGUGUGGCACCAACACGUUGGCAAUACACAUCGAGAUUGGUCAGUACAGUCUUUGAGAAGAAAUUUUCCCUAAAGGAGCUGUUUCACCAUAUCCUGGAACAUCAUGAUGAGUAUAACGAGGACUCUGUACAUUGUGCUGAUGGAUUUAAUGCACGUCUGAAUGAUUUUGAGUUUUGUUUUUUGCUUCACACAUUUAAUGGGAUUUUUGAGCAUACAGAUGUGCUUUUUGUAAUACUACAGAACAAAACAUUGAAUGUACAAUUCUGUAUGACAAGGGUGAAGGAGUUUUGUGACACCAUUGAGAGAGAGAGGGGCCGAUUCGAUGAGAUCUAUGAAGCCACUGCAUGCAUCUCAUGCGCACCAAGGACAUGGAGAGGCCCAGGACAAGGCGACCUUCGUGGAUACUAGCACCAACUCCACAGAAAUGUUCUGGACAACAUUCUCUGCCAGGCCCCAUGCAGCCAGGAUCUUCCCAGAUGUCCUUCUCUCUGGGUGCACCCACAGCAGAAGACGCGAGCCAGGCCCUGGGCGAUGACCUCUCCCACUAUGACACCUCUGGUCUUCAAGAUAUCCACCCGAAACCGCUUUGCUCCCCUCCGAGAGAUGGAACGCAACACUGUUAUUUUCAGAGACUCCAUUGUCAGGAACUGCAACUUAUCAUACUCCUUCAUGUCAGUCAGACACAGCCAGAGAUGGUGCUCAUGGACCACUAAUGUGUGCAGACUGUGGGGUCACCUUCAUUGCUCGAAGCGCGAGGUCCGUCACAGCACACAGUUCAUGUAGAACCACCAGGUCGUGGCCACCCUCGUGCAGGUCUCUCGCUUCCCCAUAAGCUCUGUAGGCACUGCCAGUUAAGCCUGAUGAAUAAUUACAGGACUGUGAGGGGAGACACGGGUCACCCCACAGAGUGGUAGCAGCCAUUGGACAUAGCUGCAUGGCCACUGACCGUUCCACCGAGGGAAUGCCUGCGUAUCCCAAAGCAGCUCCACUAUCGAGGGUGGUGAAAGUGGAGGAGCUACAAAACUUAUUUCGUGCAGUAAAAGGUGCCUUCCAAGAUAUUGUGAGCUACUCAUGCACCUCUGGGAAGAAUGGCACCAGAGGGGGGUGCUGAGAACCUCCAUUGAGAAACCAUUCAUCCAGUCUCAAAGGAUCGGGACACGGUGGAGGAUUCCACGCGAGCCCGACAUUCUCGGCAGCUGAGAAAACACAGCCGUCAUCUCUGGGUCUGGAAUGGACAACGUUGCCAUAGACGAAGGAGGCAAUGCAGUUGGGUAGUCAUCCCUGGAGAGAGAGAGCCCUCCGAUGCAGCGAUCAAAAUCUGGUCUCAAGGGGGCGAACUGAAGGAAACGGCCAGCUUCCUCCACCCUGUAGAGGGGCCAGCACGUCCCUUUGGCUGCUCCACUGGCUGCGGAGUGCUUGAGGGGUGACGAACUCCCUCUGGGGAAGCCGUUUCCUCAAAUCACCUCUGACUCCACCAGACGCAGCGCCGCCCCAAUUGGGACCCUGGUACGUUUGACAUAACAAAGUCUUUUGUGCAACUCCGAGAUGGUCAUGUCCCCAAAAAUAAAACAUGCACCAUCCACAAACGCUUGUUCAGCGUGCUCAAUGCCCAGACAAGUGAGGCAGUGAUCGUGACCGUCUCGAGGCGCAAAAUAGCGACCGCACCCAGAAACCCACGGGGGAUAAGACAUCUUUAAAAAGACAUGAUCACCCGUGUUGCUCUUUUAGAGUUUGCUCUUUUUGUGCUGAAGCACAAAGGGGAGCUGGCCACUGCACACUGGUGUGGCUGUCUGCAUGAGGAUGUUCUUUUUUUCUCUCCACCGUGAGACCGCGAC
ensembl:lncRNA